rnacentral:lncRNA from 1 species
AGAAUGCCAUCUCUAGGAUGCCAAUGGGCUGUGUCUACAGUACUAUGUAGGAAAGUGCUGCAAGAGUGACUCUGGAAGGUUGUGCUGAGAACUCUGAAGGCUUGCUGUGACUUUUUGGAGAGCCCAUUUUGCCUAAACAAGAACCACGAUUAUGUAAAGUUCUUUCUGUCACCUCUCUGAAGACCUGGUUCAUAUCUGCAGCUGCAACUCUAUCCCUGAACUCAUCUUUGAAACUACCCAGAGAUAGACUGUCAAGAGCUUCAGAGCUUUACAACAGGAUCUUCCAAGUGCCCUGAGAGGUCAUGAUGGAGCCAAUAGAAAUAAAUCAUACAAAACAAAGCCAGAACCUGGUGGGAGGGAUGCUUACAAAACAACAUAAACGAGAAGUUGUCUGAAAAAAAAUUGUAUGGAAGGAAGAAGAGAUGAGAUAAGGGAAAUGAACUCAUAAUAGCCCCAGUUAAAAUACUUACAGUAAAAUAUCAUUAGUACUACUUGAUGUUGGUGAAAGGCUCUAGACUCAAGUCAGAAGGCCCAAUUUGUUGCUGUGAUUUCUUGAACAAAUUAUGUAAUUGUGUUGAGAUUCAGUUUUCUUUUCUAUCAUUGGGUAUUAAUAACUUCUAUGUGAUGUCAGAGUUAUGAUGUGAAGUUAAAAUAACUAAUAAAUGGGUAAACCCUGAAAAUUUGAUAGAAUUUUGUGAAUGAGAGAAUCUUACAAAUACAGUACCUGAAACCAAAAGAAUUAAGUCUCAGCUUGAGGAAUAUCAGAUACUAGGGCAGGCUAAUGGGAUAAAGGUCUCAUUGAUCUGCCACCUUCAGUCACACUGAAAUGGGGCUAUAUUUUUUUUAUUUACUUACCUACCAGUACUGCCAAUAGUCAAAAUAGUACUACUUUCCAAGUUAUUUAACUUUUUUAGUAUAACAGAAAAAAAAAUCAUUUCUAGUUUUCAAGGCAUGGAUUCAAUGAGUAAUAUAGAUUUAUAUCACUUGGUGAAGACAUGGCAAUUUCCCUGAUACCACUGAAAAAUAAAUUUAAAAAUGCUAUUUGAUACCUUCUUUAAAAGCUUUUUUUGUUUGUUUCUUUGCUGAAAUGGCAAGGAUUGAAGAUAAUUGGAUUUACAAAACAACAUAGCAAGAGCUCCCAAUUUCAGUAUUGUGACAGGUCCAUUGAUAAAACCUGCUCAGGCAGAGACCAAGUUGGAAGGAAGGAUAGGUUAUUAUUUUAGUUCUCCUGAGGUAAAAUAAAUAUUCUUAAAAACGUGCAUCCAUCCAUCCUCUUUUAAGUAGAGAGGUCAUCAGUCUCUUUCCUUAUUAAAAUGAGCACAAACUGAACAUGCAUAGAUUGAUUCUCUCUAUUCAGUUGCAGUUUGAAACUUAGCCUGCUACACAUUUUAACAGAAUUUUCUACACAUUUUAACAGACACACACUUUCUACACAUUUUUAACAGAAGCAUUUUAACAGACAUUUCUCAAUGUGGCUCUCUGACUUUAUGACAUCAGAGGAAGCAGUCUUCAACCUGGUAAAAAACGUAAAGAAAAUGCAAUGUCUACUUAUAAACUUAACAAGAAUAUCAAUGACAACUAUUUUACCAAUGAAUUUAAAGAUUUGGAGAUUUCACAUAAUAGCCAGUAGCUCUUUGACAUAAAUAUAAAGCUAUAUAAUCCACAAUUCCAUUCUUUGCUUAUUUUAUGUUUUUCUGAAGUAGUUAUUGAGCACCUAUUGUGUGUAAAGAGCUGGAAUGGACAUAAGAAUACAGAAUGGCAAUAGGUUCAAAGAAUGCCAAGUACAGGAAGAGGAAAGAUGCUGAGUUCUUGUCUGGAUUUGACUUUAAUUAGUUUUAUGACCUUGGUUAAGUCACUUCUCCCAUGUAAAUCAUUGAACACUUUUUUAUUGAGGGCUUCCCAUAGGUAGAAACAAGAAUGACUGAGGAACAAAUAAACCCGGCCUCAGCCUUUGUGGAACUGACAUGGUAGUGGGUAAGAUAAAUAUUAAAGAAUUAAACACAUAAACAAAUAUAAGUAAAGAUUAUAUAAAGUGUAACCAAAAGUAAAUAAUGUUAAAGAAUUUUUAAACAUUGAGCUUCUGAUUCAAUCGGCCAGUCAUGGAAUACUUAUCCGAGGAAGCAAAAUUUAGACUGAUACUUGAAGGAAGAAAGAUUGCUGGGUGUAAAUAACAAACGUGGAAGCGUAACAGAUCUGAGGAAGUUCAGGCCAGUGUGGUUGAAACGCAGAGACCAAACGGAAGAAGGCAAAGGAUGAGACUUACUAACCAGACACUGCCCAAAUCCUGCAAGGCCUUACAGACAUGGUCCGCGUCACCUUUAGGAGCUGUAACACUCACCGCGAAGGUCUGCAGCUUCACUCCUGAAGCCAGCGAGACCACGAACGCACCGGGAGGGAUGAACAACUCCGGACGGGAGGAACGAACAACUCCAGACGCGCCAUCUUAAGAGCUGUAACGCUCACUGCGAAGGUCUGCAGCUUCACUCCUGAAGCCAGCAAGACCACGAACCCACCAGAAGGAAGAAACUCUGAACACAUCUGAACAUCAGAAGGAACAAACUCCAGACACGCCACCUUUAAGAACUGUAACACUCACCGCGAGGGUCCGCAGCUUCGUUCUUGAAAUCAGUGAGAUGAAGAACCCACCAAUUCCAGACACAGUAACACCAGUUAUCACUGAUUGCAGUUCAUCAUAACAGAUAUAAUAAUAAUUUAAAAGUUUGAAAUAUUAUGAAAAUUACCAAAAUGUAACACAGACACAUGAAGCAUUGGAAAAAUGGCACCAAUAGUGUUGUUUGAUGUAGCAUUACCAUAAAUCUUAGAUUUGUAAAUAACAAAGUAUUUGUGAAGCACAGUAAAGCAAAGCACAAUAAAAAUGACGUGUGCUUGUAUUUUAAAAGAACAGAUUGAAUUGGGAAGGGUAGUUGAGGAACUGGAAGCAGAGAGAACAGGUACAAGAUUCACGUAGUAGUCCAAGAAAAUUAAAGCAAGUAGAAAAACUAACAGAAGUUCAGGAUAAAAGAUUUUGAGGCCUUAACUACACAUUUCCAGAAGGAAUGGAAAAAGGUCAGAAAUGAGAAUGUGGAAAUAUCCUCAGCUGAUUUGACUGUAAGUAGAAAGUGUUGGCAUAAAAAAAAUGGACGAAGCCAAAAAACUCAUGGAAUGAUGAAUAAUUAAAUAAAUUGAGGUCUCCUUAUCAAAAACAAAAAUGAAGACAUGUAGAUAGAAAUUUAUAUGUCUUUACUCUGUAAAGCUGGGAGAAUACCCAGAAGGUAUUUAGGAAGUAUGUGAUAAAAAUUUAAGAUUGGAGUUAAUGAACCAGAGAUAGGCAUGAGACACAUAAUAGGUAAUAAUACAGGUUAGCUGGUAAGAUCUUUGGAGCACAGCAAGCUUGGAUUUGAGUUAGUAAUAAUAAUUAUGCACUGCACAUUUUAGCCUUUAUAAUUUUUCACUGGUUCUUCCACUUAAUAGGCAUCUUUUAACAUCUAUUAAGUGUAGGAAAAUACUAAGAGCUGGAGAUACAGCAGUAAUAAAUAAAGUUUAUUUAAGUAAGUGUAAAGUUAAUAAAACACAGUCCCUAAUCUCAUUACUCUUACACUGAGAGAUUUUCACAUUCAAAAUUUACUGAGCACCUAUUGGGUACAGAGGACUUGGAUGGGCAAAUGAAUACAAUAUGUCUCUUGCUGUGUUGUUGGAACAAGUGGAAUGCUGGGGACAUCCAAAGAAAGGAGACCACAUGGAGGAGGUGAUAUUGGAUCUUGAGGGAUGAUUAAGAGUCAUCAAACAAACGACAUUUAUAUAUAUAUUAUAAUAUCAUCUCCUGUAAUCUCGCUCACACCCUGUGAGGACCAAGUAAAUAUAUUAAAGAUGUAUUUCUUAUAGAAUAUUCUGAGCAAGAUGAGAGAAAGGAUAGUAUGAUAGCCCUGUCAGUCCUUGUAUUCCUCUCCCUAAUUUCACUGUUUUGUUGAAAGUGUUUGUUUGGUUUUUUUAAUAGUUUUUAUUUUGUAUUUAGCUCUAGACAAAAGAACAGUACUAUUCCUUGAAAACAUUUAUUCUUUAGGGAUAUGAAGUGGUAUGUUUGCCCAACAAAAUACACAAUUUCUAAAAUAUUAUGACUAAUUCAAGCAAAUGUAUUCUCUAAAGAAAAAUUUCCACUUCACUUUGUCUACAUAGAGGUAGAUUUAAUAAACAAGUUAUAACAAAAGUCUUCUGUCAGUAUUUUUCCUCAGCACUAUUAUAAAGGGUGGUAAAAAUUCCUUUCUUUGACAAAAGAGACUUUUUCCUCUUUUCCCCCAAGACACUAAUGAAUAUAAAUGUGCAAGUAAAAUAUUUUCACUUAGAUUCACAGUGUCUGACACUAAUAUACUCUAGAGCAUUUAAAUUUUUCCUCAACUUAAAACUAACUGCCAAUUUUUAAAAUGUUAAUUAUUAUUCCCCAAAUUAAGUAAGAAUAAUAAUAUAUUUUGCAUAGCAAGCAUUGUGCCUUCUAAGAAAAGAGGCAUUUUAUUUUCUGUUUAACUAUCUUCUUUCUGUCGAUCAGUGUCAGUAGCUUGUCAAAAACAAGUCAAGGACAACCUGCUUUGAUAUCUAUGCAAAUAGGAUUCAAUUAUCCCCAAUGAGUUUGCAAAACUUGCAGAAGUCAUUAAUUUGAAAAACAUGAGGAUUAAUGCAGGGGAUUUGGAACCUAUGUCAAAGACGUUUUAAAAUUACUACCAUAUAAACUUUGAUUCUUAAACGCAGAAAAUGCCUAAUGCAGCUAAUUUUAACUACUAUGAACUAUAACUUACAUAAUAAAAACACAACUGGCUAACAUUAUUAUCCUCUUUCUUGCAUAAUUUGUCUAAAAAUUAACAUCUCAUGCUUCUCUUAACUGAAGAACUUCUUCUAACAUUUCCUUUAUGCAAGUCUGCCAAUAAUUAAUUCUUUCAAGUUUUUUUAUUUUGCCUGAAAAAAGUAUUUAUUUCUUCUUCAUUUUAAUAUAAUUAAUAGACUAUUUUAGCACAGUUUUAGAUUUUCUAAAAACUUGCAAAGAAACUGCAAAAAGUUUCUGUGAACCUCACCCCCAAUUUCUCCUAUGAUUAGUAUCUUACAUUACUAUAGUAUAAUUGUUACAAUUAAUGGAUUAAUAUUGAUAUAUAGUUACUAGCAAAAGUCCAUGGUUUAUUCCUUCUUUAUUUAUUUAUUUUUAGUUUUUAUGUAACAUCCUUCAACUUUUUGUUUUUCUUCAGGACACUAUUUUUCUUCAGUAUUGUAUUGGCAAUUCUAGAUCUUUUGCCUUUCCAUAUAAACUUUGAAAUACAUUUGUCAAUAUCUCCACUAUACCUGGCUGAGAUAUUGAUUGGGAUUGUGUUGAAUCUAUAGACAAAGUUGAAAGAAAGUGACAUCUUAGCAAUACUGAACAUUCUAAUCUAUGAAGAUGAAAUAUAUCUUCAUGUUCUUUUAUCUUUUUUGAUUUAUCAGGGUUUUGUAGUUUUCUCCAUAUGACACCCACACAUUUUCAUGAUGUUUACACCUAAGUAUUUAUUUUUCUUUUUUGGUAUUAUUGUAAAAGUUAUUUAAAAGGCUUACUUUUUUAUUUCAAAUUCUGAAUGUUCCUUACUGGUAUACAGGAAAGCAUUUGACUUUCGUGUAUUUACUUUGUGCCCUGUAACCUUGUUAAAUUUGAUCAUUACUUCUGAGUAUUUCUGUUGAUUCUUUGAGAAUUUUCUCAUAAUAUCAUUUUAAAUAAAAAGACAAUAUUAUUU